UAAGUCAGCCACGAAUAGGCUAUCCCAACUAACGGCGGGAAAGACUCCACGGAGGGUGUAAGACCCGUGUGGGCGCGUGUCAAAGCUGUGCGGGCUCGGCCUCUUUUCCCUGAGAGUCGCGUUGCUUGAGCAUGCAGCGCUAAGCAGGUCGUAAACUCGAUCUAAGGCUAAAUAUCUCCACAGAACCGAUAGCGAACAAGUACCGUGAGGGAAAGUUGAAAAGCACUCUGGAGAGAGAGUCAAAAGACCGUGAAACCGCUCAGAGUAUAAGCCCAUGGCAGCUUGGAAGGCAUAUCGCUAGCGGGGCAUCGGUCUCCCUUCACGGGGAGCUGGUGUUACCUUGCUUCUGUUGUGGCUCGUCAUGGUAGGGGGGUCAAGUCCACAUCCCGCCGUCGUGUGGGGAGUUCUCGGGCGUGUCGUUGCUUUGCGGUUGACUUCGGUUGGCCGUAGGGCUCUUCGCGCUUGGUUCUCCUUUGGUCACGGACGUUCAGACUCAGUUGCAAGACGCGAUAACUAGCCCACCACGGCACGUUGUGAGGUCACCCACAGGCUUGGCUUUCGAUUGUGGUCCUUGACGCCGAGCAAGCACAAUGCGUGUCGCAGAUGUUCCUAACCGGGCAAUGGGCCAGGAUCGUGGAACGACACGCGCUCAAAAGUCAGGACCGGGCGAUGACAAAGUUCUGGUAUGAUCCUCAUGCGACGAGCCGGCUUCUGGCCGAUUCCGAUGCUCAGGUCUCCCGCAUGUGCCGCGGGAGAUCGCUUUGGCGGUCUGGA
rnacentral:rRNA from 1 species